rnacentral:misc_RNA from 1 species
AGACAUCUGUUUACUUUGUCUGUCUGUUGCUGUGUGUUUGAAUGUAAAUUAUUGACUAUACGGUGUUUUAUGUUAGAAAAUGCUGACAUAAAUAUCAACAGUGAAAAUUUGAGAUUUAAUAUUUUGUUGAAAACGAAGAUUUCAGUGCUUACUAAGAUAUAUGUAUAUAUAUGAGUCAUGAUUGAUAUUACAGUAGAUGAUUUUGAUUGUGAAAACGAUGUAAUUAAUUUUUUAGCAUUUUUCUUAAAAUAUAAAUGCAGGUUCUGUUUCAAAAUUAUUACAUGCACACCAUGUACUUGUUUUAUAAAGGAUUUCUUUGCUGAUGCAUUACAAAGUAUACCUGAUGAUUUAAUGACAGCAAAUACUUCAACUCCUAUAAAAAAUAGUAAUAAAUUUGGAAAUUGUUCUGUAAAUAUAUCCUUUAAUGACUGUAAUGUACUUCAGCAAGAUAGUUUUAAAAGUUUGUCAAGUAGCACUGAGAUGAACUCUGCAAAUGCAUACAAAAUUCAGGAAAAUUUUGGAAUCUCAGAAUUUGUUGCAAAAAAGAAUAACUUAAGCAGUAAUUGCACUGAGCUUGAGAAUGAAUCAAAUGAGAAAACUCUUUUAAUUAACAAGAGAUUCAUUCCUGGCUUUACUCCCAAAGCAAAAAAACGUAAAUUUCCAGGGCCUGCUGGUCUCUUAUCAGAAGAGAUCAAGGAAUCUGGGAAACAGGUGUUUGGGACAUCAGAUACUAAUCGUAAUAAUCAAAUGCUUUCAAAUUCUGAAAAAGAAUUAGAGAAUAUUAUCAUCUCAAUUCUCUCCAGAAGAAUUACUGCUUCCUUCAUGGAAAACACUGCAAACAGAAGUUUCUUCGUGCCCUAAUUUAUUAGCCACUGCAAAACAUUACAGCAUUCGAAGAGGUCUUUGUGAAAUGAAAUUAAGGGAUCAGUAGAUGAUGAAGUUGUGAAUACAUACAAAGAACACCUGCAAGCAGGUACUGCUCUAAUAUUGAAAAAUGUCACAUUCUUAUUUAAUGUCUUAAUAUUAAAGAAAUCCAACAUUGUUUCAAUU